UGCAAAAAGAGAAAGAGAACAUGCAGAAAGAUAAAGAGUGAGUUAAUACUGUCUUCUAAUCUACAGGCUCUGGUUUGCUUGGUGACCAAGUUUUGUGAUUGCUUACACUGUUUGACUACCUCUGACAAAUGUUGCAAGACCUCUUCCCUGUUUAAUUCUCCAAAGACUAUAGAAUGUUUUCUUUGAGGAGCAAGAUACAACAUGUUUAACUGGUUUAGGUAAAACAAUAAGUACUAUUUACUAGGGGACAGGCUUUUGGCAGAUAAUCUAACGAUCUAUGAUACUGUUCGUUGGACAUAUGUUAAUGUUUAUAAUGUUGUAUUACCAGCAGUUGUUUUCUUACUCAUUUUUAUUUGAAAACCUAGGUGAUAGUUUCAAAGCCUAUGCUGCUUAGGCCUAGCCUGUACUUGUAAUAGCCAGAAAAAAGCAGACUCAGUCACUGGAUUGUGUGCAGUAAAUACUUACUAGAAGUAACUGAUUUUUCUGAAACCUCCCCAACUCGUGAAUUCAAGAUGUGAUCAGAAUGUAUUAUUUUAACAUUCAUCGUUCCAGAGGCCAACACGCGUUUUAUUUUAAUCAUGGUAGAUGGUUUUCCCAGUUACUGCCUCUGCAUACUUGCAGUGCUGCAUCCCUGGUUAAAAGCACAGAAGUCUUGGGCAGGAAGAAAGGGCACAUAAGGAGAAAGCCUCUGUAGCUCUUUAGCUGUAAUGUAGACCAGGGGUCCCCAACCAAAGAGUGAUACCUGGUUUGUAGCCUGUUAGGAACUGGGCCACACAGCAGGUGGUGAGCGAUGGGUGAGUGAGCAUUUCUGCCUACUGUCAGAUCAGCAGCAUCAUUAGAUUCUCAUGAUGCAAACCCUAUUGUGAACUGCAAGUGCCUGGGAUCUAGGUUGUGUGCUGCUUCUGAGAGAGUCUGAGCUCAUGAACUAAGAUUCACAAGUCUUGGCUGAGUAAUGAUAUGUAUACUCCGAUAAAUCACUCUGAGUGUUUCUCCACUUAUGUGUGUAGAAAACAUGUUAGGCCAUCUCCAGUGCCCUUUCAGCUUUAAAAUCUAUAAAUUGGACUCGAUUUGGUCAUUUAUCUAACUUAAAUAAAUAGCAUAGUAAGAUAUUUGAUAUAAACAUCAUUGCAAGUUUUCCUAAGGUCUUUUUUUU